UUCCAGAGAUGGAUUGGUGCCUUCGGGAACUGUGAGACAGGUGCUGCAUGGCUGUCGUCAGCUCGUGUUGUGAAAUGUUGGGUUAAGUCCCGCAACGAGCGCAACCCUUAUCCUUUGUUGCCAGCGGUCCGGCCGGGAACUCAAAGGAGACUGCCAGUGAUAAACUGGAGGAAGGUGGGGAUGACGUCAAGUCAUCAUGGCCCUUACGACCAGGGCUACACACGUGCUACAAUGGCGCAUACAAAGAGAAGCGACCUCGCGAGAGCAAGCGGACCUCAUAAAGUGCGUCGUAGUCCGGAUUGGAGUCUGCAACUCGACUCCAUGAAGUCGGAAUCGCUAGUAAUCGUGGAUCAGAAUGCCACGGUGAAUACGUUCCCGGGCCUUGUACACACCGCCCGUCACACCAUGGGAGUGGGUUGCAAAAGAAGUAGGUAGCUUAACCUUCGGGAGGGCGCUUACCACUUUGUGAUUCAUGACUGGGGUGAAGUCGUAACAAGGUAACCGUAGGGGAACCUGCGGUUGGAUCACCUCCUU
rnacentral:rRNA from 1 species